UGCCACAUUUACUAACUUAUACUGUUCUUUUUUCUCAGGUAAUAAGCAACUCUUUAGCUCUUAUGCUAAACGCCUUCAAGGACUAUGAACACAUCUCUGGUCAACUAGUGAACAUAAAUAAAUCUUGCUAUUUGGUGGCUCCAAACACAUAUGCUGAUAGAAAUUAAGGAAUUAAAUCAAUCCAUUGGCGUAACUAGUAAAGUUGAUGAC
rnacentral:lncRNA from 1 species